rnacentral:piRNA from 1 species
UUUGUGAAAAUAGAACAUCUU